UACGAAGGGGGCUAGCGUUGCUCGGAAUCACUGGGCGUAAAGCGCACGUAGGCGGAUUGCUAAGUCAGGGGUGAAAUCCUGGAGCUCAACUCCAGAACUGCCUUUGAUACUGGCGAUCUCGAGUCCGGGAGAGGUGAGUGGAACUGCGAGUGUAGAGGUGAAAUUCGUAGAUAUUCGCAAGAACACCAGUGGCGAAGGCGGCUCACUGGCCCGGUACUGACGCUGAGGUGCGAAAGCGUGGGAGCA
rnacentral:rRNA from 1 species